AUUAAUUUUCCAAGGAAAUAGGAUAAUUAUAUUAUUUAAAUAAUAUAUGAUAUGAUUAUAUAAUUUUUAUAAUACUUAUUUUAUUAUAUGAAAUUAUUUCAGAAUAGUUAAGUUAAUUAUUUUAACUUAAUUAAUAAGGUUAAUUAUGGCAGAUAAAUCAGAUAUGGAAUCCAAACCCUAAUUUUGGGUUUUGAUCAAGGAAUGAGAAUAAUAAUAUUAUAUUAUUAUUUGUCAGUGUUACAGAUAUGUAUGAUUAUAUGUGUAUUGUUAAUGUGUGGAACAGUUUUAUUAUAUUACGAUCAAACCCUAAUAAUAUUUUGAUAAACCCUAAUUUUGAUUCUGAGAUAAGGAAUAAUGAUAAUAAUAUUAUUAUAUUAUAAUAUUUUGAUUUUUCAGUGCCAUAUAUAUAUACACACUGUAUGUGGACUGACAAUGGUUGGUUAGUUAUGAUGUAUAAUGGUGCAGUAUUUGAAAACCCUAGUUUACUGUGGGAAAACCCUAAAUUUAAAACUCAAUUGUGAGUUUAAGGCUAAUAUAUAACUGUGAUAUAUGAUAUAUGUUGUGUGUUACUUCAUGGUAUGCUAAUUAGGAAACCCUAAUUAUUAAAUUUAAAACCCUAGUUUAUAUUUAUAUUUUCUAGAUAUUAGAAAACCCUAANNNN
rnacentral:lncRNA from 1 species